rnacentral:lncRNA from 1 species
CACACGCAAUUAUAAUAAGAUUGUCGAUAACUUUAGUUUUUAGAUCGUUUGUCACUUUAGUGUAAAUUUUAUUUCUCAAUGCCUACUAGGACAUUUUGCUGUUACCUCAAUAUACUACACUAUAUGAUGCGUUUCUUUGCCGAAUAGGUUUGGAUAAAAGCUCAAUUAAGUACUAGUAUAUUAGGCCAACAGAGAAGGUUCAUGGUGAAAUAGAAUAAAUACUAAAUAUGCGCUUGCAUGCUGUUUAAAGAAGUUCGCUCAAAGUUUUGAACUUUUGCCAGAUAUUCGGAAUCCUCUGGUUUUAUUUAUGUAGUGCCAUGAAAAAAGUGUGUAUGGUAACCCCUGCUUUUCCUUUUAUAAUUUUUUAGAUAAAGUCUAAACGUCAUUUUUCAAAAGCUUAUCAAAUUCUUUUUUUCUCGAAGUUUUUUUUUAAGGAAAAUAGGUGCCAAUGGUAAAUGUAUGGAAAAUCUAGAGAUAAUUAUUUCCCGCCAAAUUAUAAAUGGCUUAUAUCUCGAAAACAUGCACACCGACCCUUUAAUUUUUUCCCGCUCAUUUAUUUCCUGUAUGUAUAUACUAUCAAUUUAUACAAAUCUUUUGAAAAGCUUGUUAUUUUGAAACAGAGUACGAACAUCCUUUCCCAGGAGAAUUAAAAAACUGGAACGGUUCUAAUAGAUAUCGAUUUAAAUUUUUGUCUAUCAAAAUGUUGACCCUUCACCCUCUAGGAAUCAUAUGGAUAGUUACCAAUCGUUUAUAUUUCAUGCAGACGGUGUUGAAAUAACAAAAAAAGCUGACUCUAUCAAUGCCUAGUGUGUGUGAAAUGGGAUCGGAAUCAGCACAGGGACUUGGAACUAAUUCAAACGAUAACGUAAUUGCAAGCAACACAAAUACAAUACAGGCGGCAACCCGGUUGAAAUAGAACAAAAGAAUCGAAGCUCUGUGUUAGAGAAGGCGAUAAAUGCUUACUGUAUUGUUUACUAUAGUAACACAAUUUUUAAAAGUUCAUAGAAACAAAUAAAAUAAAAAUUUUCUGCUCAAUUACGAAGUACUUUAUUUCAAAAACACCAUUUGCAUAAGUUUCAAUUUAUCUAUUACAAAGUUAAGCAGAACAAUUAGAUAUCAGGUCGACGACAUGGGUAUCAAGUUGGAUGAUUUUUUAUUUUUUUUUACCACCGACGGAGAACAUAUCAAUCUAUUAGUACAGUUAUUUUCGUGUCUGCCCUUUCAAAGAAAAAAUACCAAA